GGGAAAGAAAGAGAAAAAGGAAGUACAGAGGAGCUGAACAAAAGGGACAGAAUUAGGUACAGGGGAAUAAGGAAAGAAAAGGUUGAGUGGGGAGGAUUCCAGAGCUGGAAGAAAUGCGAGCAACCAUCCGAGGUAUUUGAGUCUCAUGUGGAAACUAGUGCAACUCAAACCCUAAGAGGAAUCCCAGCUCUAACACUCCUGACAAGUGGUCACAGCUUCUCCUUGAAGAUCUCCAAGAACUGGGAACACAACCUAUAGAAGGAGCUUAUAUAACUUUUGUACAGCUCUUGUUGCUCUUCUUGAAGAGGACCAACGAUAUUAGGAGGGGGAUAACUUGCAAAUGAAUUGGAUUUAAGUGAGACAGAGCUGUGCAAAGUCAUCAGCCUCAGUCUCUCUAUAGGUCUGGAUGACUGGAAUGAGAACUCUUGGCCUUUGUAAGUCAAAGUUUUUCCCGGGAUCUCAGUUUUUCUGAGGCAAUAUCCAUUCAGUGAUUAAAGGUGCAUGGAACUAGUGGGAUAGAAGAUAGAUUGCCAGACUUGGAGACAGGAAAACUCCUCUAUCCUCUGAUACCAGCUUUGUGACUCUGAGUAGCCAUUUUAACCCUGUUUGCCUCAGUUUCCUCAUCUGUAAAAUGAACAAGAGAAGGAAUGGCCAACCAUUCCAAUAUUCUUGCCGAAAAAACCCCAAAAUGGAUCUUGAAGAGUUAAACACCACUGAAAUGACUAAAUGACAAUUAUUCAGAAGUUUACUUGACAUUGAGCCCACAUUUGCCCCUUUGUGACCCACUCACUGUUUCUCAUUCUGCCCUUGAGGCCAAGUAAAACUAAGCAAGAACCCUCUUGCAGCUGAUCAAUCCUUCAACUGUUUCAAAUCCUUCAAAUAUUUUCUCUAUGCUGAACAUCCCCAGUUCCUUCAAUUGAUUCUUUUUUUUUUUUAAUUUGCUGAGGCAAUUGGGAUUAAGUGAACUGCCCAGGGUCACACAGCUAGGAAGUGUUAAGUGUCUGAGACUAGAUUUGAACUCAGGUCCUCCUGACUUCAAGGCUGGUGCUCUAUCCACUGUACUAUCUAGCUGCCCCUCAAUUGAUUCUUACAUGUAUUGCAAGAUAUUGUGCCAGACCUGGAGAGACUUACAUGAACUGAUGCUAAGGGAAGUGAGUAGAACCAGGAGAUCAUUAUACACGGCAACAAGAUUAUACAAUGAUCAAUUCUGAUGGACAUGGCUCUUUUCAAGAUUGAGAUGAUUCAGACCAGUUCCAAUAGACUUGUGAUGAAGAGAGCCAUCUGCACUCAGAGGAAGGACUGUGGGGACUGAAUGUGGAUUACAACAUAGUAUUUUUGUUGUUUGCUUUUUUUCCUUUUUUCUCUUUUUUCUCUUAUUUUUCUUGUGCAGCAUAAUAAAUGUAGAAAUAUA